UCAACGAAAUUACAUGAGCGGUAACAAGGUUAGAUGUCCAUGUAAAAAAUGUAACAAAGACGCUUUACCUGAAGAUAACAAAGUGUUUGAUAACUAUUAUCAGACUAAGAAACUAGUGCGUAAUUUGGGUUUGCCAGUUGAAAAAAUUGAUUGUUGUGAUUCAGGAUGUAUGUUGUAUUGGGGUGAUGAUGAACACCUUACAUCUUGUAAAUUCUGUGGUAACCAGAGGUAUAAGCGUCGUGUCGGCUCUCGUAAGAGGAAAUUGGUCCCUUACAAGAAAAUGUAUUAUUUUUCUUUGAUUCCUAGAUUGAAAAGAUUAUAUGCAUCCCAUGCUACAGCUGCCGACAUGAUUCUAUCUCGGAAAUGCAGCAGCAACUUGCCUUAAGGGCAGAACUGUUUGGCCUCAAAUCUGGUCCAAAAGCAGCAAAGGCUUAGCCCAAGAUUUAGAAGCAAUUUGGCUCCCAAACUAUUGCAAAAAUCUUCCUGGAUGUGGCAUAGGUUCCCAACCAAGUGCAGCAGUUUUUUGCCCCAAACAUGCAGCAACAAAUAGCCAAAAACACAGUGGCGUUCGGCCUAAAAAUGGCAACAAGUACAGUAGCAAUUUGCAUUAGUAUGCAGCAACAAAAUGGCUCAAAUUUGCUAUUUGUUGCUAGCAUGAUAGCAUGAGGUUUACCCUAUUGUUUAUACACCUGAGAUCGAUACAUAUCUCAAUGUUAAUGUGCCUCACUCAUAUUAUUGGCACUAUUAGAAUAUACACAUGUUUGAAUGUUGACAUGGCUAUGGAUCUACUUAUGCAUUUUUAUUCACUAUUAAGAGGUAGUAGAAUAUCUCUAACUUCUUCACCCCUCUCUUUCUUUGCAUGACUUGGGAAAAUUCAAUCCCAAAUGUCCUUGAGAUACUAUUACGGACUACUGUCAAAGUGGAAGGACUUGCAGUCACGGUGUGGUUCCAUUUUGAGCUACUGUUGUGAUUGGUUGAUCUGUUUUGAGGGAUGCUUGCAGCACUCAUAAGCUGUUGAUGAGCUUGGGAAAAUUGCUGCAUUUGAAGUUCUCUAAGUGUUGCGAAUGAGCUGCUACCUUGUUGUUAUAUUUGUUAUCAUAAACUGCUGGAUUAUUGGCCAUUUGCACCUCGUUUUGGGAGUGGUCUGCUGCUGAAUUUUUGGCCAUAUUGUCCUCGCAUUUUGCGGUUUUGCUGCUGCAUUUUUGGGGCAAAAAUUGCCCCACGAAAUGUUGAUUUGUUGCUGUAAUUCUGAGCUAAAGUUUCUGCCGAAUCUCGGGCAAAUUUGAGCCAUUUUGUUGCUGCAUACUAAUGCAAAUUGCUACUGUAGUUGUUGCCAUUUUUAGGUACGCCACCGGUUCAAGCGUCAGAUCACGGUAGUAACCCAACCAUCCCUGAAUUAUCUCCCAUUACACCUGAUCUGAGCAGCCCAGUAGAUGAGGGUACAUCAAACCAUAGCAACACUGUCAGCGAAGAAGAGUCCAGUAGUCGUCGUAGGCAGCGAACACUUACACUUGUUACUCUUACUCCUGCAGGGUUGGAACCUUCUAAAGAAUGCUCUAAUACCAUAUCCGCAUCUUUCAAAAAUCAACUUGAUCCCAAUGGAAUCAAUUGGAAAGGUGUCUCAGAAGAUACUAGAAAUUUUUAUUUUGGGGAAUUCAAGGACUACACCUCUGGAACCAAAUCAGACAGCAGUGGAUAGGACACAAGAAGCAUGUCAACCAACCACAACAGCUUCAUGAACCUAAACUAAAGUGAGAUGUCUGUCUUAGAUCCCUGUACUGCCUUACAUGAAUGGCUUGUAAUGACAUAGCAAUAGCAGGUCUUUUGCUUCUUACUGGAAACAUGAGGCAUUAUGUAGUUGUGGAAUCAUUUUUCUAUUUGAUAUAGAGGCAAACAUAUACCUAUCGGAAAAAAAGAAGAUAUAAAGGCAUCGCAUAUAGGUGAUAGGCAUGCAUGCAACGGUUGGAAUCUAAACAAAUCUCUUGGACUAGGUGUAAGCUUUGAAUGGCGGUGAUUUAAUGGUCUUAAGUACUGAAGUUUUUGAUCUUCCACAUUUGGUGUUCUAAACUGUUGGCGUGACAGCAUAUAGACUAGUUUUUAUUUUAUUAAUUUGCUGAACUUAAUCUCUUUUGUUAUGGUGUAAUAGUCUUGUCAUAUAAGUUGCCCAUUGAGGAAAGAUUCAAAGAUUUCGCAAAAUUAUUGAUCCAGAGAGUAAAUAAUGCUUCACAUAUUGCAAUAGCCCAUAUCCAGCCUUUAACUUUAUCACUUUUGAAGGCGUAGAAUAACUCUGAAUCACUGAAGUGUAAAGCAUGUUGCUAUAUGUUCUAUUUCUCUUCAAAUAAAUUAGAUCUUAGCAACUGGCCAGCCAACUAGUGUAUAUAGAAAUGAUUUCAAAUAAAUAAAUUAGAUCUUCCAUUUUUAAAAGUGUCGAUUGAAACUUUUGAAAUCUAGCACUAAGCUUCUAUUUUAAUAUUGGAGUGGAAUAGUGGGCAUCAUGUUUGGGAAUUUUCUUUUACCUUUUGUCCUAAUAAUUAUCUCCUGUGUGUUCACUCAUGAAAGGAUUUCUAAAACUUGCUUGCUGGUUAGUAGUUCCCUUGACUGCACUUUUUUUCAUGAUGACUGAAGGCCAAGGCAAGCUUUGGGAUUUGGUUUAGCCCCUCUAAUAGCCUGCCCUGCCGAGGUUGUAAAACCUUUGGAUCUUGCGCGGCGUUGGAUUAAGAAGGUGGUAACCCUCUUAACUGCCUUGUCCUUUCAAGUUUAUUGCUUGGCAUGCUAAUUUGUUUGAUCUCUUGGCUCUCUGAUAGUUUUAUUUUUAUUUUUUAUGAAUGACUACUGAGUAUUCUUUUAAGUUAAUGUGAUGAAGAUAUGAACUUUGGAUGCUCAUUCUUCACCCUUUAUUUGUUUUGCAUAACUUGGGGGCUUAUCGAAAUCCCUAAUUUGCUGCUAAACUUGAAAUGGAGUGACUGCUGCCUGCUGUUGGUUUUUCGAGCCACAUUUGGAGUUGGGUUUGUUGGUAAGAAACUGCUGCAUUUUGGAUCAUUUGGCUGCUGAACUUCAGGUAAGCUAUUACUGCAUAUUUUUGCUUAACUGUUACUGCAAUUGGAGCCUUAUCAGUGUUAAAUGGGCAGGCAGUAGUUGUCACAUUCUGUUGUAUAAAACACUGUUAGGAUCAAGGAUGCUAUGCUGUUACAUCUCCUUGUCAAGGUGUACUGUUUUAAAGGCUUUUGUGGCACUUUUAAAUUCAUUGUUGGGACAACCUUGAGAUAAUUUUGAGUGUUGUUGCACUGAGAACAUAGUGCUGCACUUGUUUUCUAUUUUGAGAACUAAGGUGUAAUGGUUGUGCAGUUCUGAAUUUUAAUGACUCCUGCCUUUACAUUUUGUUGUUUUGCUGCUUGGCCAUUACCUACAGUUGGCUUCUAUGAUCGGUAAUGAAUUGAGAUUAAAUGGUUGCUUGGUUUUUGCCAAUUCAACUCAGUUGGAUCAAGUCUGUGGAGACAAAUUCAUGCAGCAUGCACUUGGACUAAUAUGUAUAUAACUGUGUCUAAUUUAUGUAUACCAAUUAAGAAAAAUAAACAGUAAAUUUGACCGGUUAUUUAUAUUAAUAUCCCCGAAAAGAA